rnacentral:rRNA from 1 species
CCGGGAGGCAGCAGUGGGGAAUUUUGCACAAUGGGGGAAACCCUGAUGCAGCGACGCCGCGUGGAGGAUGAAGGCCUUCGGGUGUAAACUCCUUUUCUCGGUGACGAUGAUGACGGUACCUGAGGAAUAAGCCACGGCUAACUCUGUGCCAGCAGCCGCGGUAAGACAGAGGUGGCGAGCGUUGUUCGGAAUCACUGGGCUUAAAGGGCGCGUGGGCGGUAGUGCAAGUCCGUGGUGGAAUCCGGGAGCUUAACUCCCGAACUGCCAUGGAAACUGCCUUGCUUGAGUAUAGGAGAGGAGAGUGGAAUUCCUGGUGUAGCGGUGGAAUGUGUAGAGAUCAGGAAGAACACCGGUGGCGAAGGCGGCUCUCUGGUCUAAUACUGACGCUAAGGCGCGAAAGCUAGGGGAGCAAACGGGAUUAGAUACCCCGGUAGUCCUAGCCGUAAACGUUGGAUACUAGGUGUAAGAGGUAUCGACCCCUCUUGUGCCGAAGGUAACCCAUUAAGUAUCCCGCCUGGGGAGUACGGCCCGCAAGGUUGAAACUUAAAGGAAUUGACGG